UGAGUCGGCCGGGUGGUCGCGGAGAAAUCCGAGGAAAGUCCGGACUCCACAGAGCACGGUGGUGGGCAACACCCACCUGGGGCGACCCACGGGCCAGUGCCACAGAAAACAAACCGCCUGACCAGCGCGAGCCGGUCAGGCAAGGGUGAAAAGGCAGUGUAAGAGACUACCGCGUCACGUGUGAGCGGGACGGCACGGUAAACCCCACCGGGAGCAAGGUCAAGAAGACCGUCAGGUCGCGUCGACGCUCAAGGGCUGCUCGCCCGAUGUCGACGGGUAGACCGCAUGAGCCUGGCGGUCGGACUGGGCCGGCGGAGUUCCGUCGGUCGAAUCCGACACCAGCUCGAAGGUUCGUGGAGACACGAAUCGCAGAUGGAUGGCCACCGCCCGCGAGGGCACAGAAUCCGGCUUACAGGCCGACUCAUCCC
rnacentral:RNase_P_RNA from 1 species